rnacentral:tRNA from 1 species
GCGCGUAUAGCUCAGUUGGUUAGAGCGCCUCGUUUACACCGAGGAGGUCCAAGGUUCGAAUCCUUGUGCGCGCA